UGGGGAAUUUUGGACAAUGGGCGAAAGCCUGAUCCAGCAAUGCCGCGUGUGUGAAGAAGGCCUUCGGGUUGUAAAGCACUUUUGUCCGGAAAGAAAUCCUUGGCUCUAAUACAGUCGGGGGAUGACGGUACCGGAAGAAUAAGCACCGGCUAACUACGUGCCAGCAGCCGCGGUAAUACGUAGGGUGCAAGCGUUAAUCGGAAUUACUGGGCGUAAAGCGUGCGCAGGCGGUUUGCUAAGACCGAUGUGAAAUCCCCGGGCUCAACCUGGGAACUGCAUUGGUGACUGGGCAGGCUAGAGGUAUGGCAGAGGGGGGUAGAAUUCCACGUGUAGCAGUGAAAUGCGUAGGAGAUGUGGAGGAAUACCGAUGGCGAAGGCAGCCCCCUGGGCCAAAUACUGACGCUCAUGCACGAAAGCGUGGGGGAGCAAAACAGGAUUCAGAUACCCCUGGUAGUCCAGCGCCCCUAAAACGAUGUCAACUAGUUGUUGGGGGAUUCAUUUCCUUAGUAACGUAGCUAACGCGUGAAGUUGACC
rnacentral:rRNA from 1 species